GUUUGGAUCAUGUUUAUUUGUCUUUAUUUUUAUAUAUUUCACUACAGUAACAAUGACGUGAUUAUCAUUUCAACAUAUCGUUAGACUACUUGCUAAGUGUUAUAGGCCUAUAACCUCAAAAUAAUAUGAGACAAGGCAUAAGAGCAUCAGUGUCAGAUUAUAUGAUUAUCAUUUCAGCAAGUUGCUAAUUACUAAUUGUCACAUGUUAUCCUGAGAUCAUAUAGCCUAACACCAGCAUCAGUCAGACAUUGACGCUGACUCAUAUUUGGCUUCAUCCAUGCCUUCACUAGAAUUAGCCAAGCACGUUAAUUAGGAGUAGCCUAUCCGAAUACAUAAACAAAUACAUAUAAUCUGACAAAUAUGGCCUAUAAGCAUGCGAACUAUUAACAGGUGGGUUGGUUCAAAAUUCAAGUUAACUUCAAAAAGUUAGCAUUCUUUACACAGUGCACUCAUUGAAUUAUGUCUUUUAUCGUUCCACUAGGUUCAUUUGUUGAUAUCCGGGGGAAAUCCAGUCUAAUGGUUCUCAAGCGUUUCAGAGCACUCCGCCUGCAUGUGUACGACACAUUAUAUCAACAGCGCCAGUCGAGCCUGUCGGGCUCCGCAGCUCAUGUCAACAGCCAAUUCAUCAGCCGGCUGAUUACAGCGUGCUGCGAGC
rnacentral:lncRNA from 1 species